ACUGGGCUGGCUCAGUAGGUAGAGCACAUGACUCUUGAUCUUGGGGUUGUGAGUUCCAGCCCCAUGCUAGGUG
rnacentral:tRNA from 1 species